rnacentral:misc_RNA from 1 species
UGGUUCUGGCAUCGAUGAAGAACGCAGCGAAAUGCGAUAAGUAAUGUGAAUUGCAGAAUUCAGUGAAUCAUCGAAUCUUUGAACGCACAUUGCGCCCGCCAGUAUUCUGGCGGGCAUGCCUGUUCGAGCGUCAUUUCAACCAUCAAGCCCCCGGCUUGUGUUGGGGACCUGCGGCUGCCGCAGGCCCUGAAAACCAGUGGCGGGCUCGCUAGUCACUCCGAGCGUAGUAGUUACAUCUCGCUCAGGGCGUGCUGCGGGUUCCGGCCGUUAAAAGCCUUAUUUACCCAAGGUUGACCUCGGAUCAGGUAGGAAGACCCGCUGA